GACGAACGCUGGCGGCGUGCUUAACACAUGCAAGUCGAACGGAAAGGCCCUGCUUUUGUGGGGUGCUCGAGUGGCGAAAGGGUGAGUAACACGUGAGUAACCUGCCCUUGACUUUGGGAUAACUGCAGGAAACUGGGGCUAAUACCGGAUAGGAGCGCCUGCUGCAUGGUGGGGGUUGGAAAGUUUCGGCGGUUGGGGAUGGACUCGCGGCUUAUCAGCUUGUUGGUGGGGUAGUGGCUUACCAAGGCUUUGACGGGUAGCCGGCCUGAGAGGGUGACCGGCCACAUUGGGACUGAGAUACGGCCCAGACUCCUACGGGAGGCAGCAGUGGGGAAUAUUGCACAAUGGGCGGAAGCCUGAUGCAGCAACGCCGCGUGCGGGAUGACGGCCUUCGGGUUGUAAACCGCUUUCGCCUGUGACGAAGCGUGAGUGACGGUAAUGGGUAAAGAAGCACCGGCUAACUACGUG
rnacentral:rRNA from 1 species